rnacentral:rRNA from 1 species
AGGUGAACCUGCGGAGGGAUCAUUACCGAGUUUACAACUCCCAAACCCAAUGUGAACGUUACCAAUCUGUUGCCUCGGCGGGAUUCUCUGCCCCGGGCGCGUCGCAGCCCCGGAUCCCAUGGCGCCCGCCGGAGGACCAACUCAAACUCUUUUUUCUCUCCGUCGCGGCCUACGUCGCGGCUCUGUUUUAUUUUUGCUCUGAGCCUUUCUCGGCGACCCUAGCGGGCGUCUCGAAAAUGAAUCAAAACUUUCAACAACGGAUCUCUUGGUUCUGGCAUCGAUGAAGAACGCAGCGAAAUGCGAUAAGUAAUGUGAAUUGCAGAAUUCAGUGAAUCAUCGAAUCUUUGAACGCACAUUGCGCCCGCCAGUAUUCUGGCGGGCAUGCCUGUCCGAGCGUCAUUUCAACCCUCGAACCCCUCCGGGGGGUCGGCGUUGGGGAUCGGCCCCUCACCGGGCCGCCCCCGAAAUACAGUGGCGGUCUCGCCGCAGCCUCUCCUGCGCAGUAGUUUGCACACUCGCACCGGGAGCGCGGCGCGGCCACAGCCGUAAAACACCCCAAACUCUGAAAUGUUGACCUCGGAUCAGGUAGGAAUACCCGCUGAACUUAAGCAUAUCAAUA